rnacentral:rRNA from 1 species
GCUCAGAACGAACGCUGGCGGCAUGCCUAACACAUGCAAGUCGAACGAGACCUUCGGGUCUAGUGGCGCACGGGUGCGUAACGCGUGGGAAUCUGCCCUUGGGUUCGGAAUAACAGUUAGAAAUGACUGCUAAUACCGGAUGAUGACGUAAGUCCAAAGAUUUAUCGCCCGAGGAUGAGCCCGCGUAGGAUUAGGUAGUUGGUGGGGUAAAGGCUCACCAAGCCGACGAUCCUUAGCUGGUCUGAGAGGAUGAUCAGCCACACUGGGACUGAGACACGGCCCAGACUCCUACGGGAGGCAGCAGUGGGGAAUAUUGGACAAUGGGCGAAAGCCUGAUCCAGCAAUGCCGCGUGAGUGAUGAAGGCCUUAGGGUUGUAAAGCUCUUUUACCAGGGAUGAUAAUGACAGUACCUGGAGAAUAAGCUCCGGCUAACUCCGUG